CAAAGAUCAAAGAAGAGAAAGAGCUAACUAUCCUAAAUAUAUAUGCUCCCAACAAAGGAGCACCCAUACACAUAAAGCAAGUUCUUAAUGACCUACAAAGAGACAUAGACUCUCACACAAUAAUUGUGGAAGACUUUAAUACUCCACUCACUCUGAAAAUUCCAUUUGAAAGUGACACACCUUAUGUCCAUUUAUUCUUUAUUGGCCAAGCAAUUCACAGGACCAUAUUUAUCAAGGCCCCUUAGAAGCAUGGCACAUCAUGCACCUUCUACCUUGAAGUGAUAUACGUGACUAUCACUCUUAUUUAAUUGGCCAAAGCAAGCGUCAACACUACAUUUCCACAUUUCAUAUUAAAGAGGACAAGGAAGUGUAAUUUGACUGCCUAGCUAGGAGAGGAGAAUUA